CAAUAGCGUAUAUUAAAGUUGUUGCAGUUAAAAAGCUCGUAGUUGGAUUUCGGGGUGGCCUGCCUGGUCCACCGCAAGGUGAGUACUGGUCAGCCGCCCUUCCUCUCGAAAGCCCCGACUGCUCUUCAUUGCAGUGGUCGGGUAGUUCGGGACGUUUACUUUGAAAAAAUUAGAGUGUUCAAGGCAGGCUCUCGCCUGAAUACAUUAGCAUGGAAUAAUGGAAGAGGACCUCGGUCCUAUUUUGUUGGUUUCUAGGGCCGAAGUAAUGAUUAAGAGGGACAGUUGGGGGCAUUCGUAUUUAAUUGUCAGAGGUGAAAUUCUUGGAUUUAUGAAAGACGAACUAGUGCGAAAGCAUUUGCCAAGGAUGUUUCCAUUAA
rnacentral:rRNA from 1 species